CUCUCUUAGAACAACAACGCUCCUCUUCUAGGGUUUGGAGUUUAUUCGAGUUCAAGUGAGUUCAACCCAUUCUUCCACUCACCUCCCAAACCCAUUCUCAAAAUUGUCGUGCUCACUCGCUUAAAUGUUAUAGUCAUUUGACUAUCUUAUUUCAGAUGCGAGAACUCCCCGUGGUCGUCAGGGUGAUGGAGAUUUCGCUGCCUAGAUCAUCUUGGAUCAGAUCUUGUUUUGUCCGAGUUUUCUUUAGGGCUAUAGCCCAUGUAAUAUCUUGCCCUUUGGAUGUUUAUUUGUGUAACUUGUAUCUGGUUUAGUCUAUGGCAUCGUGAUGUGCCUUAGUACUUCAUUUUAAGUGCCUUGGGUACGGUAAGGAGUAGUAUUAUACUCCAGGACUUUGCCUCUCAAUUAUCUAUGUG